ACAGGGAUGCCCUAGUAACGGCGAGUGAAGCGGCAACAGCUCAAAUUUGAAAUCUGGCCCUCGGGUCCGAGUUGUAAUUUGUAGAGGAUGAUUUUGGUUAGGUACCUUCCGAGUUCCUUGGAACAGGACGCCUUAGAGGGUGAGAGCCCCGUACGGUUGGAUGCCGAGCCUCUGUAAAUCUCCUUCGACGAGUCGAGUAGUUUGGGAAUGCUGCUCUAAAUGGGAGGUAAAUUUCUUCUAAAGCUAAAUACCGGCCAGAGACCGAUAGCGCACAAGUAGAGUGAUCGAAAGAUGAAAAGCACUUUGAAAAGAGGGUUAAAUAGUACGUGAAAUUGUUGAAAGGGAAGGGCUUGUGACCAGACCUUUGCCUUGCGGAUCAUCCGGUGUUCUCACCGGUGCACUCCGCUUGGUUGAGGCCAGCAUCAGUUUCGGCGGCGGGAUAAAGACUUCAGGAACGUGACUCCCCCGGGAGUGUUAUAGCCUGCUGUGUAAUACCGCCGCUGGGACUGAGGACCGCGCUUCGGCUAGGAUGCUGGCAUAAUGGUCAUCAGCCACCCGUCUUGAAACACGGACCAAGGAGUCGAACAUUUAUGCGAGUUUUUGGGUGUUAAACCCUCAAGCGUAAUGAAAGUGAACGGAGGUGGGAGCCCUUACGGGUGCAUCAUCGACCGAUCCUGAUGUCUUCGGAUGGAUUUGAGUAAGAGCAUAACUGUUCGGACCCGAAAGAUGGUGAACUAUGCGUGGAUAGGGUGAAGCCAGAGGAAACUCUGGUGGAGGCUCGCAGCGGUUCUGACGUGCAAAUCGAUCGUCAAAUCUGCGCAUGGGGCGAAAGACUAUCGACC
rnacentral:rRNA from 1 species